rnacentral:rRNA from 1 species
AACGCGAAGAACCUUACCUACUCUUGACAUCCUGCGAACUUGGUAGAGAUACCUUGGUGCCUUCGGGAACGCAGAGACGGGUGCUGCAUGGCUGUCGUCAGCUCGUGUUGUGAAAUGUUGGGUUAAGUCCCGUAACGAGCGCAACCCUUGUCCUUAGUUGCCAUCAUUUAGUUGGGGACUCUAAGGAGACUGCCGGUGACAAACCGGAGGAAGGCGGGGACGACGUCAAGUCAUCAUGGCCCUUACGAGUAGGGCUACACACGUGCUACAAUGGCAAGUACAGAGGGCCGCGAAGCCGCGAGGUGGAGCUAAUCUCACAAAGCUUGUCGUAGUCCGGAUUGGAGUCUGCAACUCGACUCCAUGAAGUCGGAAUCGCUAGUAAUCGCAAAUCAGAAUGUUGCGGUGAAUACGUUCCCGGGUCUUGUACACACCG